rnacentral:snRNA from 1 species
GUUAUUUUACUUACUCCGU